rnacentral:rRNA from 1 species
GAUGAACGCUGACAGAAUGCUUAACACAUGCAAGUCAACUUGAACUUCGGUUUGGGUGGCGGACGGGUGAGUAACGCGUAAAGAACUUGCCUCACAGAUAGGGACAACAUUUGGAAACGAAUGCUAAUACCUGAUAUUAUGAUUUUAGGGCAUCCUAGGAUUAUGAAAGCUAUAUGCGCUGUGAGAGAGCUUUGCGUCCCAUUAGCUAGUUGGAGAGGUAACGGCUCACCAAGGCGAUGAUGGGUAGCCGGCCUGAGAGGGUGAUCGGCCACAAGGGGACUGAGACACGGCCCUUACUCCUACGGGAGGCAGCAGUGGGGAAUAUUGGACAAUGGACCAAGAGUCUGAUCCAGCAAUUCUGUGUGCACGAUGAAGUUUUUCGGAAUGUAAAGUGCUUUCAGUUGGGAAGAAAAAAAUGACAGUACCAACAGAAGAAGUGACGGCUAAAUACGUGCCAGCAGCCGCGGUAAUACGUAUGUCACAAGCGUUAUCCGGAUUUAUUGGGCGUAAAGCGCGUCUAGGUGGUUAUAUAAGUCUGAUGUGAAAAUGCAGGGCUCAGCUCUGUAUUGCGUUGGAAACUGUGUAACUAGAGUACUGGAGAGGUAAGCGGAACUACAAGUGUAGAGGUGAAAUUCGUAGAUAUUUGUAGGAAUGCCGAUGGGGAAGCCAGCUUACUGGACAGAUACUGACGCUGAAGCGCGAAAGCGUGGGUAGCAAACAGG